UGGCUGAGUGGUAAAGCACUUGUCUUCCAAACCAGGGGUCCUGGUUUUAAAUCCUGG
rnacentral:tRNA from 1 species